GACGAACGCUGGCGGCGUGCUUAACACAUGCAAGUCGAACGAAGAGCGAUGGAAGCUUGCUUCUAUCAAUCUUAGUGGCGAACGGGUGAGUAACGCGUAAUCAACCUGCCCUUCAGAGGGGGACAACAGUUGGAAACGACUGCUAAUACCGCAUACGAUCUAACCUCGGCAUCGAGGAUGGAUGAAAGGUGGCCUCUAUUUAUAAGCUAUCACUGAAGGAGGGGAUUGCGUCUGAUUAGCUAGUUGGAGGGGUAACGGCCCACCAAGGCGAUGAUCAGUAGCCGGUCUGAGAGGAUGAACGGCCACAUUGGGACUGAGACACGGCCCAGACUCCUACGGGAGGCAGCAGUGGGGAAUCUUCCGCAAUGGACGAAAGUCUGACGGAGCAACGCCGCGGGAGUGAUGACGGCCUUCGGGUUGUAAAGCUCUGUUAAUCGGGACGAAAGGCCUUCUUGCGAAUAGUUAGAAGGAUUGACGGUACCGGAAUAGAAAGCCACGGCUAACUACGUG
rnacentral:rRNA from 1 species